GUCUUUUUGAGAAUAAUUUAAAGUCUAAUCUGCCCACUGAAUUUAUUUAAAGGGCUGCAGUAUAUUGACUGUACAAAGGUAGCAUAAUAAAUAGUCUUUUAAUUGAAGACUGGUAUGAAUGAUUUGAUGAGAUAUAAACUGUCUCUUUUUUAAAAAUUGAAUUUAAUUUUUUAGUUAAAAAGCUAAAAUAUUUAUAAAAGACGAGAAGACCCUAUAGAGUUUAAUAAUAAUUUUUAUUUUAAUUUUAUAUAAAAUUUUAAAUUAAAAUAAAAAUUAUUAUUUUGUUGGGGUGAUAGAAAAAUUUAUGAAACUUUUUUUAAAAAAUUAACAUUAAUAUAUGAAUUUUUGAUCCAUAAUUUAUGAUUAUAAGAUUAAAUUACCUUAGGGAUAACAGCGUAAUUUUUUUUUUUAGUUCAAAUAAAAAUUAAAGUUUGCGACCUCGAUGUUGGAUUAAGAUAAAAUUUAAAUGCAAAAGUUUAAAAUUUUGAUCUGUUCGAUCAUUAAAAUCUUACA
rnacentral:rRNA from 1 species